rnacentral:rRNA from 1 species
UACGUAGGGGGCAAGCGUUGUCCGGAUUUAUUGGGCGUAAAGAGCGUGUAGGCGGCCAGAUAGGUCCGUUGUGAAAACUCGAGGCUCAACCUCGAGACGCCGAUGGAAACCAUCUGGCUAGAGUCCGGAAGAGGAGAGUGGAAUUCCCGGUGUAGCGGUGAAAUGCGUAGAGAUUAGGAAGAACACCAGUGGCGAAGGCGAACUUACUGGACUGUAACUGACGCUGAGGCAUGAAGGCCAGGGGAG